rnacentral:rRNA from 1 species
AUGUGGCAGUACCGCACCACUCAUGCGCGACCCCAUCAACGCACGCAGCCCACACUCCCGAGACCCCACCCACGUCCUACCCACAAAAAUCCCCACCCACCCACCCACGAUCCCGUCUCCUGCGGUCCUGCCUCCCUUCUCUCGAUCCCCACCGCACCACCACUCGCCUCUGCCUCGUCGGACACCGACGCCGCGUCCUCUCGCCGGACCCCGGCGCCGCGUCCCCUCACCGGACCCCGCCGCAUCCCCUCGCGGGACCCCGCCGCCUCCCAUCGCCGGAAGGGGGCGCUCCUCGACGCCGCGUUGGCCGAGGCCAACCGGGAGCGGCGCUCUCCAACGACGGCGCCGCCGACGACGUCGACGACUAGGAGGACAAGGAUGUACAGGCCCCCGUGUUCGCCCGCGCCACCGGGCACCACCGCCUCCGCCUGCAUCCGGCGCCGCCUUGGACAAGGAGGUACAGCGCCCCCGCCUCCGCCGUCGCCACCAGCCUUGGUCCUCCGGCCAGCGAAUCCUCUGCCACCGCCGGCAAGCCUCCGGCCUUCCCUUCCUCUGCUUCGCCCAUCUCUGAAUCCUUCAUCUUUCUUUCUCCAGGAACCACCGAGGCGACGGGCACGAGCAGGGCACGGCCGCUGCGGGCGGGCGGCGCUAGCAGGGCAGCCGGUGCGGGAGGCCGUUGCGAGCGAUGCUCGGGCGGGCGGUGCUAGCAGGGCGCAGGCGAGCAGGGCCGUGCGACCACGCGUCCAGCAUGGACGGGCGGCGUUUCGGAGACCAGGGUCGGGCACGGUUGCUGCGGGCCGGUGCGGGCAGGGCAGCCGGCACGGGAGGCCGCUGCAAGCGACACACGGGCAGUCGGCGCUAGCAGGGCGCGGGCCAGCUAGGCCGUGCGUCUGCGCGGCCAGCAUGGCCGGGCGGCUGCGCAGUGGCACGGCUAGGCAAGCAGGGCAAGGCGGCGGUAGUGCAUCGCCGCCCAGAAGGACGGCCGGCGGUCAAGUCCCUGUUCCUGCAGUGGAGAAGGACUUGAUUGUUUUUUUUUACUUUCUAGGGUCCUUUGUGUAA